rnacentral:tRNA from 1 species
GGGGAUGUAGCUUAGUGGUAGAGUGCUUGCCUAGGAUGCAAGGAGUCCCUGGUUUCUAUCUCCA